AAAAAUGAGAACAAUGAUUUAGUUCCUAGUCAGCAAUGGAGAGACAGAUGUUCCCACAUAUUAGGAAAGACAAAGAAAAAUCUUUCUGAUGUAUUUCUUAAUUGUUGCUGCUCUCCCAGAAGAUGGUUAUCAGUCAUUCCUUGAGAUGUGCCGAAAAUAUGAAAAAGGUCUUCUGAAAGACCAGCGAGCAAUGGCAAAGGACCUACAAGAAAAGCCGAGGUUCAAGCCAUCAUACAUCAAAUGCUUAUUUGGCCUCGACGUUUCAGAUCGUGUUGCUCUGUUGGGUCAGGUUGCUGACCAAAGUAACAGUCUGGAUGAACUGAAAUUAGUGUGCAAGGAGUGCAAA